CCAGGCGCCGCGGGGGGACCCUGGAGCGGACAAUCAGCAGCAGGGCAGGCUAUCUGGAAGAAUUACCAAAAACAGCAACCCAUUCGUCUCUCUGUAAAGUGCUGACAUCUGUGCUCUGGAACUUACAGCUGAGAGAGCACAAAACUUGUCCGACUCAGCAGAGUCUAGGAAGUCAAGCAGCUCAAUCUCGAACAGGACAGUGGUGUUUGGGGGGAUUAAGGGAGGGCAGCCCAAAGUUCCAUAGGCGUAGUUCGGUUUGAACAGAAACCUGGCCAGCUCUCCUCUCCGCAUGCUCAGAAGACCCAGCUCCAUGCCCCACAGUGUAAUAUCUGUAAGAAGACACAAAAAAGAGAGUGCGAUGACAUGGAUCCUGCGGACAAACCGCCCCAGGGCACACCUAGCACCGAAGCAUCAGGCGCCACCAGGUCUCCAGCUCCUUCUCGGAUGACAUCCUUCAGCACGCCCCGGUCCCCCGAGAUGUCCAACAUCUUCUGACUUAACCGCUCGUACAGGGACUGGUGGAGAAUGAAAGCCAGGCCUCAGAGCCUCAGACCCACCCGGCCACCCCUCGUCAUCGACGCCCCGAAACGUCCGGGCCCUCACCUGGCCGGGGGCGUCGUCCCCUUCCAGGACCCCCUGGUUUAAGGCGCUUCCCCCCAUGUCCUUGCUGCCCUCCCUGUGGCGUGAGCCUUCAGCCUGGUGCGCCCCGCUGCCCUCCCUAGCUGUGACUUUGGUGGGGUUCCGAAGGCCCCUUUAUACCCGGCAGACCCUACCGAUGGCGGCAUUCCAUUCUGGGGCCACGAGAAGGCACUCAUCAUUUCGUUCCAACUGUCGCCAACGGCCCUGGCUCUCGCGAGCUCUGGAACUACAUAGGCCGCGCCGUGAGGUGCGAGGUGCGGCAGGUAAUAGGAGCGCACGAAACGUGAUGGGAUAUGUAACGCGACCACGCAGGGCACGUUGGGCACGUGCAGGGGCGUGAGGUGGUGGCAUAUAAUGGGAGCGCGCAGUGCAUGAUGGGGCACGUGAGGGAGCGCGAGGCGGGGCCUGUAACCGGAGCGUGCGGGGCAUGAUGGGGCACGGACGUGGGGCGGUUAGGUGGGGCACGUAAUUGGAGCGCGUGGGGCAGGAUGGGGCACCUAACUGGAGCGACAGAAAGCAUGAUGGGGAACUUGCAGGGGUGUGAGGCUGGGUACGUAAUGGGAGCGCGCGGGGAAUAUUGGGGCACCUAACGAGCACGCAGAACAUGAUGGGGCAUGGGUGCGAGGUGGGGCACACAGUGGGAGCAUGUGGGGCAUGAUGGGACACAUGGCAAGGCUGUCAGGACACAGGGGAGCACUUUUGGAACACGUGACAGGGCUGCCGCCCUUGAAGGAACCCUCGGAGUGGCUGCGUGGUGGGGCACGUGGGGCAGGUUCAGGAAAAAGGAUGCAGCAUGUGAUUGCAGGGCAACCUGGUGAGGACAUGAGAGCCAUCUGCCACCAGCAGAGUUCAGAGCUCCCAGCUGUGGGUUACAUCCACCUUCUUCCACUUUCCUUCUUCCAUUGUGUUCUAGAGAAAUUUAGGCCCAGACGAGACACUGAUUGACUGAUUGAUUGAUUGAUCGACAGAGGCUGGCUCUGAGCCCAGGCUGGAGUUCAGUGAUGGAUCUCAGCUCACUGCAGCCCCCACCUCCUGGGCUCAAGAGAUCCUUCUGCCUCAGCCUCCCCAGUAGCUGGGAUUACAGAUGUGCACCACCAGGCCCAGCUAAUUUAUUUUUUAGUUUUUAACUUGCUGGAAAGAUGGUUUGUAGCUUUGUUGCCUAGGCUGGUCUUGAACUCCCGACUUCAAGCGAUCCUCCCAUCUUGGCCUCGCAAAGUGCUGGGGUUAUAGGUGUAGGCUGUAGCCAGCUUUCAAUACUGCCCCAAUUGGGAGUUAAGUUUCCAACACAUGAAAUUAGGAGGAUACAUUCAAACCACAGCAGUAUAUUAUGACCAUAAUAUUCAUUAACUGUGUAACAGGCCAGGUGUGGUGGCUCACGCCUGUAAUCCCAGCACUUUGGGAGGCCAAAGCAGGUGGAUCACUCGAGGUCAGGAGUUUGAGACCAGCCUGGCCCACAUGAUGAAACCCCAUCUCUACUAAAAAUACAAAAAAUUAACUGGGUGUGGUGGCGGGCGCUUGUAACCCCAGCUACUUGGGAGGCUGAGGCAGGAGAAUCACUUGAACCCGGGAGGUGGAGGUGGCAAUGAGCGGAGAUCACACCACUGUGCUCCAGCCUGGGCAACAAGAGUGAAACUGUCUCAAAAAACAAACAAAACGUGUGUAGCAGAGUGUCAUUGAAUUUCUAAACGUUGAAAGACUUCACAUUAAAAACAAAACAAAACAAAAAAAACCUCACAAUUCAAUAUUAUCGAGUGAAAGAAACCAGACACAAAAGAGUACAUUCUAUAUGAUGCUGUUUAUGUGAAAUUCAAAAACAGGCCACAUGACAGCAUGGUAAUAAGGACAGUGGCUGUCCUUGUUAGGAGUUAUGACUGGGAGGAGUCAGGAGGGAGCUUUCUGGAAACACUACAUCUUGCUCUUGAGUGUGUGCGUACAUACAGCAGGUGUUUAUCAAGCUGUGUGGUUAAGAUUUGCACACUUGUAUAUGUUAUACCUUGAUUUAAAAAAUCUUAAAAAAGCUACCUUCAAAUCUCUUUUUAAAAAAAAAAAAAAAAAAA